rnacentral:tRNA from 1 species
GUUGGGGUAGCUUAUAUGGAGAGCGCAGCGCUGAAGUUGUUGAGGAGAAAACUUGUUUCCCCCUUCA